rnacentral:lncRNA from 13 species
CCCUCCCCCACAGAGCGUCUCCGACCGUCUGCUUGGGAUAGUUUGAAAUCGCGGUUUUGUUCGUCCCACUGGGUGUCCCAAACGAUCUGUCCCUGCAAUCCCCUGGGCUGGCCUACUGUCCAAGUCUCAUUCAGUCUCAAGUCCAGCCCUCUCAAGUCUCAGGUUGCCGGUUCAACAGGGCACCCGGACAAGCGCGCCCUGUGGGGAUUGCUGGGUAGGGCAGCCGCCGCCGCCCCGGCUGCCGGCUUCGCCAGGCAGACCUACUGCCUGGUGUCCCGUGUCUUUUUUAUACUUGGGAGUUUCCCCGUUCUGUGGGCAACAAAGAUCAGUCUGGAUAUGCAGCUCCAACUCACCAUUUGCGGAUUCAACGAGAGCUCCAAUCCUGGCUUGUUCUCACAGUGCCAUCUUGAGUCCUCCCCCAAGAAUGAUACUUUGAACAGGAUCUGUGGACUCACCUAUUGAUGUUUUCGAGAUAUUUUUCAAGAAGGAGAUUGGAGGAAAGCAAGGGAAGAAGAGAGAAGCCUCACAGAAAUGUGCUUGUGUGCUCGCACAGUUUUCUUAAUAUUGAGAUGCAGAUGUUCAGCAGGAGUUGAUGCCUCAAAGAUUCAAGUUUAGAAAAAAGUAGAGAAAGGAUUAAAGAAGGUCGAUGGGAGAGGCAAGGAUACGUGGUGAGAUGAUGGUGAGGAAAUUUAUUGUUGCUCUGUAAUUAUCUCCUGGAUUUGUGGCUCUGCCACUACCGCAAUUUGUUGAGAAUACACCCUAAGAUCUGAUGUGAUGCAGAGGAUAUUUAGAAAGCAA